GAAAUACAGCUCAGUUGGUAGAGUGCUUGCCUUGCAUGCACAAGGCCCUGGGUUCAAUCCCCAGCA
rnacentral:tRNA from 1 species